UGUGACGGAUGAGGAGACAGUAGGCAUGGCUGCUAAAUUCACCACUCAUGCACCCCCAGAAGAAUUUAAUGAAGCAUUCAAUGAUGUUCGGCUACUACUUAAUAAUGACAGUCUCCUCGGAAGGGGCAGCACAUGCCUUUGCCCAGUAUAACCUGGAUCAGUUCACGCCUGUGAAGAUAGAAGGAUAUGAAGAUCAGGUCUUAAUUACACAGCACAGUGACCUGGGUAAUAGCAGAGUUUGAGAUCCAAGAAACAAAAUUUCCUUUAAAUUUGAUCACUUAUAGAAAGAAGCAAGUGACCCCCAGCCAGAAGAAGUAGAUGGAGGUCUGAAGUCUUGGAGAGAAUCCUGUCACUGUGCUUUAAGAGCCUAUGUGAAAGACUAUUAUUCCAACAGCUUCUGUACUGUCUAUGCUAAAACUAUCAAUUAACAACAGACUAUUAUUGCACAUAUUGAAAGCCACCAGUUUCAGCCUAAAAACUUCUGGAAUGGUGGUUGGAGAUCAGAGUGGAAGUUCGCCAUCACACCAUCUACAGCCCAGGUGGUUGGAGUGCUUAAGAUUCAGGUUCACUAUUAUGAAGUUGGCAUCGUUCAGUUGGUUAGUCAUAAAGAUGUACAGGAUUCGCUGUUUCGAAUGAAGCCCAAACUGCCAAGGAGUUUAUUAAAAUCAUAGAGAAUGCAGAAAAUGAGUAUCAGACAGCAAUUAGUGAAAACUAUCAAACACUGUCAGAUACCACGUUCAAGGCCUUGUGCCGGCAGCUUCCAGUUACCUGCACCAAAAUCGACUGGAACAAGAUAGUCAGCUACAAGAUUGGCAAAGAUAUGCAGAAUGCUU
rnacentral:lncRNA from 1 species